rnacentral:rRNA from 1 species
AUGAACGCUGGCGGCGUGCUUCACACAUGCAAGUCGAACGAGAAGUGAAGACGGAAACCUUCGGGCGGAAGGCUUUAUUUCGAGUGGCGGACGGGUGAGUAACGCGUGGGUAACCUGCCUCAUACAGGGGGAUAACAGUUGGAAACGACUGUUAAUACCGCAUAAGACCACAGCACCGCAUGGUGCGGGGGUAAAAACUCCGGUGGUAUGAGAUGGACCCGCGUUCGAUUAGCCAGUUGGCGGGGUAACGGCCCACCAAAGCGACGAUCGAUAGCCGAUCUGAGAGGAUGACCGGCCACAUUGGGACUGAGACACGGCCCAAACUCCUACGGGAGGCAGCAGUGGGGAAUAUUGCACAAUGGGGGAAACCCUGAUGCAGCGACGCCGCGUGAGUGAAGAAGUAUUUCGGUAUGUAAAGCUCUAUCAGCAGGGAAGAAAAUGACGGUACCUGAGGAAGAAGCCCCGGCUAACUACGUG